rnacentral:tRNA from 1 species
GCCAUUUUAGUUUAGUGGUAAAACAGUUGACUCGUAACCAACCGACACGAGUUCGAUUCUCGUAAAUGGCACCA